CAGCCGCUGGGCAAGUCACUUCGACUCAGGCUGCUCAAUAUCCCCAUCUCCAAACCGUGCCCCGCUGCCUGCCUCAGCGCCACAGGACAGUGGCGAAGAGAGCGCCUCAGGCUGCAAAGUCACCCUCACACCGCCCGGGCAGCCCUACUGCAGCAGUGGGUUGAACGUUCACCACGCAGGGGGGUUGGAAGGUGGAGUACCGAGCAGGUUGCAAGUGGCUCGAAAGGCCGUCUCAUGAUUGAAUCCAGCACGACGUUCAAAUCCCAUGAUGGCACUGGCUCUCUACCUGGCGGAUACAGGUUCUGUAUCCCUUUGCAGAAUCUCUUAAUGCACAGAUGGGAAAAACAGAAUGCACUUGUAUGGAGGUAUAGGUGGAAAUGCAUAUGCCUGUGGGAAGUCCCAGUGUAUUGCAAACGCAUCUCCGAGAGAUUGCAAUCCAACGCCUGCCCUGAAACAAUAUUGUGGGCACUUGAAAUUGAUGUGCAUUGCAAACUGAUCUACAACUGGGUAUCCCCCAUCUCCUGGAAAGGUUGGUUAUGAUAGAUUUAUUGAUCUCCCAUUCGUGGUUCUGUGGGAAUUGUCUGCUGAGGGCAUCUGCUAGUACAUUGUCCUUGCCCAACAAAUGCAUAGCGGUAGGUGUGAUGUUGGGUAGAAUACACCAUUGCCAUAGUUUUGUUGCUUCUGCACAUAGGCUGCGAGACCUUGCCCCCCAACUGUUCAUGUAAUAUGUUGUUGUGACAUUGUCCGACAAUAUCCUCACAAUUGUUUUAUAUGCAUGGAAACAGUUGGGAGCAUGCCCUUUUCAAUGCUCUGAGCUCAAGCACUGGGACUCUUCGUGUGUCCAUUGUCCCUGUAAUAUCACACGCCCCAGAUGGGCUCCCCAUCCCAUUGGGGAAGCGUCUGUCGUGAUAGUGAUGGAUGACGUCAGCGUCUGAAAUGGAAGUCUUAUACAGACGUUGUUUAAGUCUGUCCACCAAUCCAGGGUGGCUUUGACCCAGCUGAGCACAUGGAGUGUAUUGGAGAGCGUAGCCAUACCUAGAACGGCCUCAUAUGUAGGUGGGCAUUCGGGACCACAAAAGUGGACAGAUGCUGCCACAUGUCCAAGUAUUUGCAGGCAUGUAUGCGCCAUUGUAUGUGCGCCACUCUGUAUGGACACGAUCAAGUCGUGCAUUCUCCACCAUCUGUGGGUCGGCAGUGAGGCUAUGUCCCAACUGCAGUUCAACCGUGCCCCUAUAAACUCCAGCAUCUGGAUAGGAGGGUUCACUUUUCCAAAUUCAACAGGAGCCCAGGCAUGUCGAAUAACGCUCUUGUUGACUCCAGUAAUUAUUCUGUGUCACCACAGGUGGACGCCAUGAUCAGACAAUCAUCGAGAUAUGGAAAUAUGUUUGUUUUCUUUGCAGGUGUGUGGCUACCAUUAACAAAAUUUUGGAAAAAACUCUGGGGGCCGUGGACAGCCUGAAGGGGGGCACCCUGUACUGACUGUGUAAGUUCUUGAUGGUGGACGUGAGGAAUCAUCUGAGAGCCAGGUGAACAGAUACAUGGAAAUAUGCAUCCUUGAGGUCAAGGGCAGCUAGCCAUGCUCCUUUUUCCAAGGCAGAUAUGGUCUUUGCCAGUGUGACCAUCUUGAAAUGUUGAUAUUUGACAAACCGGUUGAGUGCACAUAGGUCCAUGAUAGGCCUCCACCCCCCCGAUUUCUUGACAAAGUAUCGAGAAUAAAAUCCCCUCCCUCUAUAGCGCCUAGUUCUAGGAGGCAUGGCACUUCGUCCAGGAGGACUAACUCGUGAGAAGGGUUCCCUGAAGAGGGACGGGGCAGGGAGGUGAGUUGGUGGAACUGCUGUGAAUGGUAUGCAGUAUUCGGUUUGUAUUAUUUCUAAGGACCCAUUGGUUUAGGUGCUGUGUAGUCACCUAAGUGGAGCACCCACAGGGACCCUAAAGAAGAAGGGAAGGUUACUCACCUUGUGCAGUAACUGGAGUUUUGAGCUGUGUCCCCAUGGAUGCUCUACACCCACCCUCCUCCAUUGUGCUCCUGGCUAACACAAUCGGGCGUAGAGAAGGAACGGAGGGUUAUCUCUGGAGGGAGUUGAAUGAGGCUGUGACUCAGCCACGUUGUGGUACAAAAAUAAUCGUCUUCUUUGUAGCUCUCGCACCUUCUUAGAGCAUGGGGCAAGCUUCUGACAGUGCGGGCAGUGACUGACAGGAUGGUUUUGCUCUGGGCAGUGCAGGCACUGCUCGUGUCCGUCUACCGCUGUGAUUGCUGUCCCGCACCCUGUGCACCUUUUAAAGCCCAGUGAUACAGGCAUAACAGGGUUUUUUCCCCCUCUGUGUUGUCCUUUGGGCAAGCAGGACGCAGCAAAAGUGCCCGGGCACCAUUUCGCCUGCUUUUCUGUUAUUCUUUUCCUCUUUUCUUUUUCUUCUUUUUUUCCUUUUGAUGCUGUUAGGGAGACUGACUAAGUGCAACCAAUGCCAGCAGCGGUUGAGAAGAACUGAGUGAAUGGCCAUCAUUGCAUGUCUAACUGUUAACUGGGGCGAUUGCGCAAUAGUGCAACAUGCGCAGGUGGCCGGAGGGCUGCUAGUAAAGAUCUCCAGAGCAUGUGCACAGCAGUGCUGACGCCCAUGGAAACCCUCAAAAAACUAAUAAUUCUGUAUCUUGAAUAUAGUUUCAACCAAUUUACCUGGUACUGAAGUUAGGCUUACUGGACCAAUGCCAGGAUUGCCUCUGGGAACUUUUUAAAAAAAUUGGUGUCACAUUCGCUGUCAGUCAUGUGAUGCAGAAGCAGAUUUAAGUGAUAGGUUACAUAACAGUUAGUAGUUCUACAAUUUCAUAUUUACGUUCCUUCAAAACACUUAGAAGAAUUACCAUCUGGUUCUGGGGACUUACUAUAGUUUCAAAUCCU